rnacentral:rRNA from 1 species
AGCAGCCGCCGCGGUAAUACGAAGGGUGCAAGCGUUAAUCGGAAUUACUGGGCGUAAAGCGCGCGUAGGCGGCUUUUUAAGUCAGAGGUGAAAGCCCGGGGCUCAACCCCGGAAUUGCCUUUGAAACUGGAAAGCUAGAAUCUUGGAGAGGUCAGUGGAAUUCCGAGUGUAGAGGUGAAAUUCGUAGAUAUUCGGAAGAACACCAGUGGCGAAGGCGACUGACUGGACAAGUAUUGACGCUGAGGUGCGAAAGCGUGGGGAGCAAACAGGAUUAGAUACCCGGGUAGUCCCUGUCUCUUAUAC